rnacentral:rRNA from 1 species
GACGAACGCUUGCGGCGUGCUUAACACAUGCAAGUCGAACGGAAAGGCCCUGCUUUUGUGGGGUGCUCGAGUGGCGAACGGGUGAGUAACACGUGAGUAACCUGCCCUUGACUUUGGGAUAACUUCAGGAAACUGGGGCUAAUACCGGAUAGGAGCUCCUGCUGCAUGGUGGGGGUUGGAAAGUUUCGGCGGUUGGGGAUGGACUCGCGGCUUAUCAGCUUGUUGGUGGGGUAGUGGCUUACCAAGGCUUUGACGGGUAGCCGGCCUGAGAGGGUGACCGGCCACAUUGGGACUGAGAUACGGCCCAGACUCCUACGGGAGGCAGCAGUGGGGAAUAUUGCACAAUGGGCGGAAGCCUGAUGCAGCAACGCCGCGUGCGGGAUGACGGCCUUCGGGUUGUAAACCGCUUUCGCCUGUGACGAAGCGUGAGUGACGGUAAUGGGUAAAGAAGCACCGGCUAACUACGUGCCAGCAGCCGCGGUGAUACGUAGGGUGCGAGCGUUGUCCGGAUUUAUUGGGCGUAAAGGGCUCGUAGGUGGUUGAUCGCGUCGGAAGUGUAAUCUUGGGGCUUAACCCUGAGCGUGCUUUCGAUACGGGUUGACUUGAGGAAGGUAGGGGAGAAUGGAAUUCCUGGUGGAGCGGUGGAAUGCGCAGAUAUCAGGAGGAACACCAGUGGCGAAGGCGGUUCUUUGGGCCUUUCCUGACGCUGAGGAGCGAAAGCGUGGGGAGCGAACAGGCUUAGAUACCCUGGUAGUCCACGCUGUAAACGGUGGGUACUAGGUGUGGGGUCCAUUCCACGGGUUCCGUGCCGUAGCUAACGCUUUAAGUACCCCGCCUGGGGAGUACGGCCGCAAGGCUAAAACUCAAAGGAAUUGACGGGGCCCCGCACAAGCGGCGGAGCAUGCGGAUUAAUUCGAUGCAACGCGUAGAACCUUACCUGGGUUUGACAUGGAUCGGGAGUGCUCAGAGAUGGGUGUGCCUCUUUUGGGGUCGGUUCACAGGUGGUGCAUGCCUGUCGUCAGCUCGUGUCGUGAGAUGUUGGGUUAAGUCCCGCAACGAGCGCAACCCUUGUUCACUGUUGCCAGCACGUUAUGGUGGGGACUCAGUGGAGACCGCCGGGGUCAACUCGGAGGAAGGUGGGGAUGACGUCAAGUCAUCAUGCCCCUUAUGUCCAGGGCUUCACGCAUGCUACAAUGGCUGGUACAGAGAGUGGCGAGCCUGUGAGGGUGAGCGAAUCUCGGAAAGCCGGUCUCAGUUCGGAUUGGGGUCUGCAACUCGACCUCAUGAAGUCGGAGUCGCUAGUAAUCGCAAAUCAGCAACGCUGCGGUGAAUACGUUCCCGGGGCU